AGAUCAGCCCUGGGGUUCAGAGGGAUCCUGACGGCUACUCCUCAAGAUCCUCUCUGUUGUGAUUCAUCCCCCCCGGGCCCUACAGUUUCUCCUUCCUGACUCUUACAUUUCUUUGGAUGGCAUCAUUAUUUACCUGUCUCCUCCCAUAGUUAGGUGCCAAGCACUGUGGAUUCUGCCCCUCAGUGUCCAGACACCCAUUUUCCUUCCCACUGUUCCUUCCCCAUGGAGAAGCCUGUGGCUGGCUGACAGCAGAGAGAGAUGCUCAACUUGGAGAAGGUGUUACCUGGGCCAGGUGGGGAAGGUUUGUUUGCAGAGCAAAGAAGUGAAGCCCUCCAUUCUAGUAUUCAAGACCUUUUGCAACUCAGAAUGAGUGCAUCUGAAAUUCUCAGAAUUGGGAAAAACAUAGCAGAUUUGAAUUGGCAUAUAAUAGGAUUUGCCAUAAGGAACUAUCAGUGUUAGGGAGGAAUUUCUGCAUAGUUGACCCUUGAACAACAUGGAUUUUAACUGCACGGAUGCACUUAUACGUGGCUUUUCUUCCACCUCUGCUAACCCUGAGACAGCGGAACCAACCCCUCCUCUUCUUCCUCCCCCUCAGCCUAUUCAACGUGAAAAAGAUGAGGAUGAAGACCUUUAUUAUGAUCCACUUCCAAGUAAUGAACACACUGGAGAAAGUCAGACAGUCAAAACAAUGUCCCAGACUCCGUGAAGUUCCUGGGUAGAGAAGGAGACAGACAUAUACCAUACCUAAUAAUUGGAUGUCCGAGAGAAUGAGAGA
rnacentral:antisense_RNA from 1 species